CAAGGAAUUUUCGUCAAUGGGGGAAACCCUGAACGAGCAACGCCGCGUGGGCGAAGAAGUCCUUCGGAUGUAAAGCCCUUUUCCCAUGUUGAAGAAAGAAAGACGGUAGCAGGGGAAUAAGGCAUCGGCUAACUACGUGCCAGCAGCCGCGGUAAUACGUAGGAUGCAAGCGUUGUCCGGAAUUAUUGGGCGUAAAGAGCGCGCAGGCGGUUUUUACAAGUCAGAUGUGAAAGAGGCCGGCUUAACCGGCAAGGGUCAUUUGAAACUGUAAGACUAGAGUACAGCAGAGGAUAGCGGAAUUCCCGGUGUAGUGGUGAAAUGCGUAGAUAUCGGGAGGAACACCAGUGGCGAAGGCGGCUAUCUGGGCUGUAACUGACGCUGAGGCGCGAAGGCUAGGGUAGCAAACA
rnacentral:rRNA from 1 species